ACGCUGGCGGCGUGCUUAACACAUGCAAGUCGAACGAGAAUCUGUGGAUCGAGGAUUCGUCCAAGUGAAGCAGAGGACAGUGGCGGACGGGUGAGUAACGCGUGAGGAACCUGCCUUUCAGGAGGGGACAACAGUUGGAAACGACUGCUAAUACCGCAUGAUACUAUUUGGGUGGCAUCAUCUGAAUGUCAAAGAUUUAUCGCUGAAAGAUGGCCUCGCGUCUGAUUAGCUGGUUGGUGAGGUAACGGCCCACCAAGGCGACGAUCAGUAGCCGGACUGAGAGGUUGACCGGCCACAUUGGGACUGAGAUACGGCCCAGACUCCUACGGGAGGCAGCAGUGGGGAAUAUUGGGCAAUGGGCGCAAGCCUGACCCAGCAACGCCGCGUGAAGGAAGAAGGCUUUCGGGUUGUAAACUUCUUUUAAGAGGGAAGAGCAGAAGACUGUACCUCUAGAAUAAGCCACGGCUAACUACGUG
rnacentral:rRNA from 1 species